rnacentral:rRNA from 1 species
GUGUGACUGCGUACCUUUUGUAUAAUGGGUCAGCGACUUAUAUUCUGUAGCAAGGUUAACCGAAUAGGGGAGCCGAAGGGAAACCGAGUCUUAACUGGGCGUUAAGUUGCAGGGUAUAGACCCGAAACCCGGUGAUCUAGCCAUGGGCAGGUUGAAGGUUGGGUAACACUAACUGGAGGACCGAACCGACUAAUGUUGAAAAAUUAGCGGAUGACUUGUGGCUGGGGGUGAAAGGCCAAUCAAACCGGGAGAUAGCUGGUUCUCCCCGAAAGCUAUUUAGGUAGCGCCUCGUGAAUUCAUCUCCGGGGGUAGAGCACUGUUUCGGCAAGGGGGUCAUCCCGACUUACCAACCCGAUGCAAACUGCGAAUACCGGAGAAUGUUAUCACGGGAGACACACGGCGGGUGCUAACGUCCGUCGUGAAGAGGGAAACAACCCAGACCGCCAGCUAAGGUCCCAAAGUCAUGGUUAAGUGGGAAACGAUGUGGGAAGGCCCAGACAGCCAGGAUGUUGGCUUAGAAGCAGCCAUCAUUUAAAGAAAGCGUAAUAGCUCACUGGUCGAGUCGGCCUGCGCGGAAGAUGUAACGGGGCUAAACCAUGCACCGAAGCUGCGGCAGCGACGCUUAUGCGUUGUUGGGUAGGGGAGCGUUCUGUAAGCCUGUGAAGGUGUGCUGUGAGGCAUGCUGGAGGUAUCAGAAGUGCGAAUGCUGACAUAAGUAACGAUAAAGCGGGUGAAAAGCCCGCUCGCCGGAAGACCAAGGGUUCCUGUCCAACGUUAAUCGGGGCAGGGUGAGUCGACCCCUAAGGCGAGGCCGAAAGGCGUAGUCGAUGGGAAACAGGUUAAUAUUCCUGUACUUGGUGUUACUGCGAAGGGGGGACGGAGAAGGCUAUGUUGGCCGGGCGACGGUUGUCCCGGUUUAAGCGUGUAGGCUGGUUUUCCAGGCAAAUCCGGAAAAUCAAGGCUGAGGCGUGAUGACGAGGCACUACGGUGCUGAAGCAACAAAUGCCCUGCUUCCAGGAAAAGCCUCUAAGCAUCAGGUAACAUCAAAUCGUACCCCAAACCGACACAGGUGGUCAGGUAGAGAAUACCAAGGCGCUUGAGAGAACUCGGGUGAAGGAACUAGGCAAAAUGGUGCCGUAACUUCGGGAGAAGG